ACUACUGAUGAGUCCCAAACAGGACGAAACAACUGUCUUUGUUGAAU
rnacentral:hammerhead_ribozyme from 1 species